CAAAGAAGGUAAUAAUCCUGUAGUCGAAAAUGUUGUCUCUCUUGAGUGGAUCCUGAGUACGACGGAGCACGUGAAAUUCCGUCGGAAUCUGGGAGGACCAUCUCCUAAGGCUAAAUACUCUCUAGUGACCGAUAGUGAACCAGUACCGUGAGGGAAAGGUGAAAAGCACCCCGGAAGGGGAGUGAAAUAGAACCUGAAACCGUGUGCUUACAAGUAGUCAGAGCCCGUUAAUGGGUGAUGGCGUGCCUUUUGUAGAAUGAACCGGCGAGUUACGAUUUGAUGCAAGGUUAAGCAGUAAAUGUGGAGCCGUAGCGAAAGCGAGUCUGAAUAGGGCGUUUAGUAUUUGGUCGUAGACCC
rnacentral:rRNA from 1 species